GAUCGUCACGUCGUGAUCAUUGUGUGAGUAACUAAUAUCGAUUUUAUAUUAAUUGAUUCAAAUGAAAACAUGAACUGUUGUAAAGUAUACCUUCUGGUCCUUAUCCACUGUCCGCUUAAACAAAUUCAAAAACUUUAUACAUUUCUUCAAGUGAUGGGCUCUCUUUUGCCUUUAAUUAGACUUUGGAUCUUUAACAGUUGGCUACGAAUAUUUUUAGAACUUUACAGACAUAAAAUGAGUAUUC
rnacentral:lncRNA from 1 species